rnacentral:rRNA from 1 species
UACGUAUGUCGCGAGCGUUAUCCGGAAUUAUUGGGCAUAAAGGGCAUCUAGGCGGCCGGAUAAGUCUGGGGUGAAAACUUGCGGCUCAACCGCAAGCCUGCCCUGGAAACUAUGCGGCUAGAGUACUGGAGAGGUGGACGGAACUGCACGAGUAGAGGUGAAAGUCGUAGAUAUGUGCAGGAAUGCCGAUGAUGAAGAUAGUUCACUGGACGGUAACUGACGCUGAAGUGCGAAAGCUAGGGGAGCAAACAGG